ensembl:misc_RNA Metazoa_SRP Metazoan signal recognition particle RNA
GCCAGGUGUGGUGGUGGUGCACCUGUGGUCCCAGCUACUUGGGAGGCUGAGGUGGGAGGAUCGCUUGAGCCUGGGAGGUCUAGGCUGCAGUGAGCUAUGAUGGCCCCACUGCACUCCAGCCUGGGUAACAGAGCGAGACCCCCAACUCUU